CAGCUGCUGAGGUUCCAAGUCUUGAAGUAGAGCUCUUUGCUGAUAUGACUGCCCUAGACAAGUAGUCCAGUCUCUUGUUCAGGUUGAUGUUUGACCUAUGAAAACAUGAAUAUUUGAGGGAGGAAUUAGUCAAAGGGGUAAAACUUUAAAGAGACAUCCUGAGAUAAGGUUUAAGUAAACAUACAUAGGUUUCUGCUUGUUGUGCAUCCAUCCUGGCAGAAUCUACACUAGCUGGUGGCCCAGGCUGAAGGGGAACACCUGGUGCUUGUGGCAGACUGUUACUUGCAGACCAAAGAUAGUUCAGAGUAUCUGUGAUACAUUUAUAGCACUCCAUUCUGUAGAGUAAGAAUCACAAAUAGAGUCCCUCAGUGAGAUGUGCUAGAAUGUGUGUGCAGGAAAAGAAAGGUGCACUUACUUGGCAUUGGAGAACCUGGCAUCAUAGGCACACCUCCAGGACUGAACAGAACUGUAUUGGACAUAUGCAUUGGAGCACCUGUUAGGUAUAUAUAAUAUUGCAUUAACAACACUGUAAGCUAUUAAUUAUUUAUAUAUUAAGUUCUUGUUGAUUUAUGUUUCUUUGUAUUAUGUUGAUACCUCUUCUGGUAUUAGAAUGUUUGUUG